UACGUAGGUGGCAAGCGUUGUCCGGAAUUAUUGGGCGUAAAGAGCUCGUAGGCGGUUCGAUAAGUCGGACGUGAAAUCUCCACGCUCAACGUGGAGGGGCCGUUCGAUACUGUCGUGACUCGAGUCCGGUAGGGGAGUGUGGAAUUCCCGGUGUAGCGGUGAAAUGCGCAGAGAUCGGGAGGAACACCCGUAGCGAAGGCGGCACUCUGGGCCGGUACUGACGCUGAGGAGCGAAAGCGUGGGGAGCAAACAGG
rnacentral:rRNA from 1 species